UGAAUGCGAAGAACCUUACCAGCCCUUGACAUGUCCAGGACCGGUCGCAGAGAUGUGACCCUCUCUUCGGAGCCUGGAGCACAGGUGCUGCAUGGCUGUCGUCAGCUCGUGUCGUGAGAUGUUGGGUUAAGUCCCGCAACGAGCGCAACCCCCGUCCUUAGUUGCUACCAUUUAGUUGAGCACUCUAAGGAGACUGCCGGUGAUAAGCCGCGAGGAAGGUGGGGAUGACGUCAAGUCCUCAUGGCCCUUACGGGCUGGGCUACACACGUGCUACAAUGGCGGUGACAAUGGGAAGCGAAGGCGCAAGUCCUAGCAAAUCUCAAAAAGCCGUCUCAGUUCGGAUUGGGCUCUGCAACUCGAGCCCAUGAAGUUGGAAUCUGCAAGUAAUCGUGGAUCAGCACGCCACGGUGAAUACGUUCCCGGGUCUUGUACACACGCA
rnacentral:rRNA from 1 species